UACGUAGGGUGCAAGCGUUAUCCGGAAUUAUUGGGCGUAAAGAGCUCGUAGGCGGUUUGUCGCGUCUGCUGUGAAAACUGGAGGCUCAACCUCCAGCCUGCAGUGGGUACGGGCAGACUAGAGUGCGGUAGGGGAGAUUGGAAUUCCUGGUGUAGCGGUGGAAUGCGCAGAUAUCAGGAGGAACACCGGUGGCGAAGGCGGGUCUCUGGGCAGUAACUGACGCUGAGGAGCGAAAGCGUGGGGGAGCGAACAGG
rnacentral:rRNA from 1 species